rnacentral:piRNA from 1 species
UGGGCAGGAAUAAGAUCAGUCUUUUGGUGG